rnacentral:rRNA from 1 species
UCAAGAGGAACGCCAGAGGCGAAGGCGAUCUGCUGGGCUUGACCUGACGCUGAGGUGCGAAAGCCAGGGGAGCAAACGGGAUUAGAUACCCCGGUAGUCCUGGCCAUAAACGAUGUCCACUAGAUCGGUGAACUUCUGACAGUGUGCCGGUCGAAACAAAAGCGUUAAGUGGACCGCCUGGGGAGUACGGUCGCAAGGCUAAAACUCAAAGGAAUUGACGGGGGCUCACACAAGCGGUGGAGCAUGUUGCUUAAUUCGAUGCAACGCGAAGAACCUUAUCCUGGGCUUGACAUGCUUGGAUGCCCAUCUGGAAACAGAGUAGGCUGCCCUUCGGGGUGAAACUUGCACAGGUGCUGCAUGGCUGUCGUCAGCUCGUGUCGUGAGAUGUUGGGUUAGGUCCCGUAACGAGCGAAACCCUUGUCGUUAGUUGCCAGCGCGUAAUGGCGGGGACUCUAGCGAGACUGCCGGUGUUAAACCGGAGGAAGGUGGGGAUGACGUCAAGUCCUCAUGGCCUUUAUGCCCAGGGCUGCAAACGUGCUACAAUGGCGAGGACAAACCGACGCAAAGCCGCGAGGUCGAGCAAAUCGGAGAAACCUUGCCCCAGUUCGGAUUGGAGUCUGCAACUCGACUCCAUGAAGUCGGAAUCGCUAGUAAUCGCGUAUCAGCGUGACGCGGUGAAUAUGUUCCUGAGCCUUGUACACACCGCCCGUCAAGUCAUGGAAGCUGGGAGCGCCCGAAGUCGG